rnacentral:rRNA from 1 species
GACGAACGCUGGCGGCGUGCUUAACACAUGCAAGUCGAACGGUGAAGCGCCUUCCUUUUUGGUGGGUGUGGAUGAGUGGCGAACGGGUGAGUAACACGUGAGUAACCUGCCCCCUUCUUCUGGAUAACCGCAUGAAAGUGUGGCUAAUACGGGAUAUUCUGGGUCUGUCGCAUGAUGGGUCUGGGAAAGAUAUUGUUUCGGUGGGGGAUGGGCUCGCGGCCUAUCAGCUUGUUGGUGGGGUGAUGGCCUACCAAGGCGGUGCCGGGUAGCCGGCCUGAGAGGGUGGACGGUCGCACUGGGACUGAGACACGGCCCGGACUCCUAAGGGAGGCAGCAGUGGGGAAUAUCGCACAAUGGGCGCAAGCCUGAUGCAGCGCCGCCGCGUGAGGGAUGGAGGCCUUCGGGUUGUGAACCUCUUUCGCCAGUGAGGCAGGCCUGCCUCGUUUGUGGGUGGGUUGACGGUAGCUGGAUAAGAAGCGCCGGCUAACUACGUG